rnacentral:rRNA from 1 species
UCAAUUCGAAGCAACGCGCAGAACCUUACCAGCCCUUGACAUGUCCCGUAUGGGUUUCAGAGAUGAGAUCCUUCAGUUCGGCUGGCGGGAACACAGGUGCUGCAUGGCUGUCGUCAGCUCGUGUCGUGAGAUGUUGGGUUAAGUCCCGCAACGAGCGCAACCCUCGGCCUUAGUUGCCAUCAUUUAGUUGGGCACUCUAAGGCGACUGCCGGUGAUAAGCCGGAGGAAGGUGGGGAUGACGUCAAGUCCUCAUGGCCCUUACGGGCUGGGCUACACACGUGCUACAAUGGCGGUGACAGAGGGAUGCAACGGAGCAAUCCUGUGCAAAUCUCAAAAAGCCGUCUCAGUUCGGAUUGGGGUCUGCAACUCGACCCCAUGAAGUCGGAAUCGCUAGUAAUCGCAGAUCAGCACGCUGCGGUGAAUACGUUCCCGGGCCUUGUACACACCGCC